rnacentral:rRNA from 1 species
UACAGAGGUCUCAAGCGUUGUUCGGAUUCAUUGGGCGUAAAGGGUGCGUAGGCGGCGCGGUAAGUCGGGUGUGAAAUUUCGAGGCUUAACUUCGAAACUGCAUUCGAUACUGCCGUGCUAGAGGACUGGAGAGGAGACUGGAAUUUACGGUGUAGCGGUGAAAUGCGUAGAUAUCAGGAGGAACACCAAUGGCGAAGGCAGCACUCUGGGACGGUACUGACGCUGAGACGCGAAAGCGUGGGGAGCAAACAGG